UACGAAGGGGGCUAGCGUUGCUCGGAAUCACUGGGCGUAAAGCGCACGUAGGCGGCUUGUUAAGUCAGGGGUGAAAUCCUGGAGCUCAACUCCAGAACUGCCUUUGAUACUGGCGAGCUUGAGUCCGGGAGAGGUGAGUGGAACUGCGAGUGUAGAGGUGAAAUUCGUAGAUAUUCGCAAGAACACCAGUGGCGAAGGCGGCUCACUGGCCCGAUACUGACGCUGAGGCACGAAAGCGUGGGGAGCAAACAGG
rnacentral:rRNA from 1 species